UCUGUCGUUGUAGAGUCUUUAUUUUUAGGGGGGAAGCGAGUUAAAUUAGAGGUUUUGUGGUUUGCCUUCGCUUUCAUCCGGAUCCAGUUUUACAAGGGCUGAAACUUUCAGUAUGCAGGACGUGCCCCUUUGAACUGAACAGCCCACACUUGGCCCUGUUCGCAUUUUCGCUUUCGCAUUCCCGUUAAAGGCCUCUUUCUCCGCGCGGAAUGGCAACGUAAUUCUUGAUGGCCUGUUGUAAGCUUUCAGUUCAAGCUGCCUCGAAACAUAUUCUCUUCCCCCUCCUAAUACUGCUGAUUUUUUUCCGAAAGUCUUAAGUUCUUGCAGUUUCCCAUUCCACCUGCAAACUUUGUGCGAUUGUGGUAGUUUCUGCGGCUGCUCUCUAAGGCUUCAAUCCUAUGGACAUCUGCUUGGGCGUAAGCCCCAUCGAACACAGUGGGACGUACUUCCGAAUAAGCAAAAGCCCUUUGGAUCGGGUUGCACAGACUCCCUGUCAACCAAUGCGUUUGCAUACUAAAGGCUGCCCUGUAAGGUAUUUGUAUCUCGAUGGGUGUGCUGAAAUAAUUCCCCUUUUCGUGCAAUACACUUGGUAUACAGCUCAUGGAACUUGAGUGGCUUCAUGUUGGUAUUUUCUGUCUGGAUCUUGAGCAGACAGUAUUUCCUGCAAGACUGUUAUGUUCUCCAAAAAGGAUACGACAGCCUGCUCAGUCUCUUUAAAUAUUAGUUUUACAAAUAUUCCUGCUUUUUUUGGCAUAUUGUCUAAAGCCACUGCAAUGAAUUGAUUGUAUAUAUUAACGGUCUAUACAGUAUUUGUUUCCUGCUUGGCAGGGGGUUGGACUCGAUGGCCCUUGUGGUCUCUUCCAACUCUAUGAUUCUAUGAUUCUAUGAUUUGCUUUGGGAAGUUGCAGCGAGGUUUAGAAGAAUUCAGAAUGCAAGGCAAUCCUAUAUACUCAGAAGUAAGUCUCACUGAGUUCAAUUGGGCUUACUCCCAAGAAUAUUGGACUUUUUUUGUUUAUUUAUUUAUUUAUUUAUUGUAUGGUAGGUAGAAAUGCCAAAUAUGUUUUAAGAAUGAUGAAAAAGCAAGUUCAAAGAUACCAUUUGUGUUUAACAUUUUGAAGCAUUGACCUCUUAUAGCAGAAACAAGGUCUAGUAAUAUAAUUUUGGUCUAUAGCCUCUUUUUCUUUUUAAAAGAAUCCUCCUUAAGAAAUAUUGCCAAAAUAUUUGGGAAUAACAUCUCUUUUAUUGCACUAAAGCAAAUGAGAACCACAUUUAUUUCACUCUCCCCACCAGAAUAUUAAAUUCAAAUUGGAUAUUAUUGUCAUUGGAUUCGUAUUUAUGAAUUUAUAUAACUUAGGUUUUGCAAACAUACUUUUCUAAAUCACUUUCCCAGCUGUUCAGACAUUGAAACGUAUAUAUAUUCACAAAAGAGGAAACUUGCUAUAUGUACAAAACAUAUUGUACAUAUAUUACUGUCAUAUAUAUUGAUAUAUAUAUACUGUUAUAUAUUACUAGCCCUGAAUGCUUCCAAGUUCUAAUGUUUAAAAGUUUGCUUGCCCUUCUCAUGUACAGAUGUAUUAUCUAAAGUUUCUUAAUUAUUCAACAAAUCGAUUAACCAUCUGGUAGCAAAAUUGUUCUUCUUCUAACUUGACAUUCACAACUCUUUUACACCUAUGUACAAUUCCCUUAGGACUCAGGAAUCAACUUUAAGGACUAUAUAUUGCUUCGGUUCAAAGUUUUGAUGCACGCAUUCUAGAUUUCAUAAUAAAUGUGGGUUUUUUUAUUUAAUGCAGUCUUCAAAGAUUUAAACACACAAAAUGCAGUGAAAUUGUCCACAAUUUUGAGACCACAGUUGUAAAUAGAAACAUUCAUAUUUCAUAAGUUUAUAAAUAUUUGAUACUGCGAAUUGUAAAUGCACAUGUUUUAUAAACUGAAAAACACCUUUGUUUUCUUGCUAAAAGGCAAUGUCAUUGAUUUCUGUCUCCUAAGCAGCUGAUAGUUAUUCACAGAAUUUUAAAUUACAGCAUUGGUUGUAUACUUUCUUUUCUUUCUUUCCAAAGUUGAUACUACUAUGUACAAUAUGUGUCUACUAUAAUUGUGAAAUAAAGAGAGUUUUUAAGGCAAAGCGAGAAGUUUAACCUCAACAAUCAAUAAGACUAUAGUCCUGAAUAAUUGUACAGCAUCCUCCCAUGCGAGACCUCUGGCCAAUAUUUUGGAGACUUUUCCUUUCCCCAAGAAAAGGAGAAGGGUUGAAGUGUGGGAGAAAAUUCUGAAUAAAAUACAAAUAAUUAGCUUCACUGUAACUCACAUUAGAAUCAGAAAAUUUAAAAAUGUUGGGCAAGGAAAGGGGGGCGAUAAGAAAUACACAAAAAUCACUAUGACUUUUAUGAAUUCUUCACAAUUCUUCGUAAUGUAUGUGCUCAAUUAAAAAUCUCUCCCAUUUUCGGGAAUGAAAGGCAACUUUUUUCCAACAUGGGCUAGUGAUUAUUUCCCCUUAAAAGAAAAGGCCAGUUUCUAACCAAGAGACUUUAGAGACAACCCUAACCCUCCUCCUUUUAUAUCCUCUUGCAUAAUAGAAGUCAGUUAAGCUGAAAAGGUGCCCUAACUCUCUCUCCACCCUCCCUCCUCUAGAUUUGUUCUUUUCCUGAGCCAGGCUGGUUGCAUGGAAAAGCCUUCCCUAGCCCAAAAGCUAGUGAUGCAGACUCCUCACCCCAACUCUCUUAUGUGCACAAACAUAUACACACACACUGGCUCCCCACCCCCACCAAUGCCACAGGGGCCUGGUACAUUUGUCCACAGCACUGCAAAGCUAAAGCGCAAGGCCAUGCUGCUUUCUGAGCAGCACUUUAAAAAGAAGCAACGAGCAAGCGCCAAAGCAAAACAAUGUAGGGAACUAGCAGAUGGGAAUGGGAUGAGCUAAUGGACACAACAGCAAGGCAAGCUCCGAAGCGUGUGGGGUUACCCUCCCUCUGGCUUCUCACACUGGGCAAUGUCCAUCCUAAAACUACAAAGAAAAGACCUUCUUCCCUUUUUACUUCCCAGGACACGGUCCCGGAAGUUACGAGGUUUUAUUCUAAACUUUUCCCAUCACACUCCUUAGGCGGGAAUAAUUACCGAAUUAACAUGUCCUUGAUUGAAGUCGGCCACUAUUUGUUUACCAACUUUUUCUGAGUCUCUAAAUACUACCUCCCCUCACUCACACACACAUCCUUUACUCCAGUCUAAUGGAGAAAUGAGGAUAAAUUCAAGAAACGUUCCUAAGGCUUAACAUCAUGUUUCAGUACUUCUUUUCCCCGAUUUCUGAAUGUGUUAUUUGCAAACGGGCAGCAUGUUUACAUAGUUAGCUUAUAAUUUAUAUUGUGAUAAUUAAAGUUCUUCUAUACCCAUCCCAAAGGCAAACACAAGAGGAAGAAAAGAAAAAAAGAAACGUUAAAACUCAUAGAACAAAUAGGAGAACUAUUUAUUCGGUUCACAGCCUCGUGAAAUGCAGCAAUAAAAAUCUUUGGACUUCAGCAAAAGUUGUCUUUAAUAUUUUGAAUUUCAAAAAACAGUGUCCAAUGUCCAUUUAAAACAGUGCUUAAGUCUAUAAAAAGGUAACUUAAGCUUUUAAAAAAAUUGAUAAAGUUAGCAUCUAAAAUUUCC